CGGGGUGCAGCAGGCGCGAAAACUUUACAAUGCGGGAAACCGUGAUAAGGGGACACCGAGUGCCAGCAUCAUAUGCUGGCUGUCCAGGUGUGUAAAAUACACCUGUCAGCAAGGGCCGGGCAAGACCGGUGCCAGCCGCCGCGGUAACACCGGCGGCCCGAGUGGUGAUCGUGAUUAUUGGGUCUAAAGGGUCCGUAGCCGGUUUGGUCAGUCCUCCGGGAAAUCUGACGGCUCAACCGUUAGGCUUUCGGGGGAUACUGCCAGGCUUGGAACCGGGAGAGGUAAGAGGUACUACAGGGGUAGGAGUGAAAUCUUGUAAUCCCUGUGAGACCACCUGUGGCGAAGGCGUCUUACCAGAACGGGUUCGACGGUGAGGGACGAAAGCUGGGGGCACGAACCGGAUUAGAUACCCGGGUAGUCCCAGCCGUAAACGAUGCUCGCUAGGUGUCAGGCAUGGCGCGACCGUGUCUGGUGCCGCAGGGAAGCCGUGAAGCGAGCCACCUGGGAAGUACGGCCGCAAGGCUGAAACUUAAAGGAAUUGGCGGGGGAGCACAAG
rnacentral:rRNA from 1 species